ACACAUUGCGAACUUUCUUGUGUUAUCAGUAACAGAAGUGGGCAAUACAUUGACAUUAUCGGUGUCAAAUUUAUAACUUUCGAGUGUACAAUUACUACCGAUCGAGAGAGGGAAACAUGCAGAUUUCUAUUCUCGUUGCCUUGCUGGUUCUGUUGUCGUUUGCAAAUGCAGAAUAUUGUCACGACACAGACAGCUGCCGACAAACAGGUCUAACUUCAUGCAACGGAAAUUCGCACCUGAACUGCGACCCUAACUGUCACCAAUGUGUGUGUGCUUCCGGAGCUCCAGAAUGCCAGACCGGAGACGAUUGUUCAGGACGAUGUGGUCCAAUGCAUAUUACAUACUGCAGAAAUGGGAAAUGUAUUUGUGAAAUGCAUUAAAUAAUUUUUGAUAAUUCA
rnacentral:lncRNA from 1 species